rnacentral:rRNA from 1 species
GCAGUCGAACGGAACUGUUUUGAAGAUUUCUUCGGAAUGAAUUUGAUUUACUUUAGUGGCGGACGGGUGAGUAACGCGUGAGUAACCUGCCUUCAAGAGGGGGAUAACAUUCUGAAAAGAAUGCUAAUACCGCAUGACAUAUCGGAACCACAUGGUUCUGAUAUCAAAGAUUUUAUCGCUUGAAGAUGGACUCGCGUCCGAUUAGUUAGUUGGUGAGGUAACGGCUCACCAAGACCGCGAUCGGUAGCCGGACUGAGAGGUUGAACGGCCACAUUGGGACUGAGACACGGCCCAGACUCCUACGGGAGGCAGCAGUGGGGGAUAUUGCGCAAUGGGGGCAACCCUGACGCAGCAACGCCGCGUGAAGGAUGAAGGUUUUCGGAUUGUAAACUUCUUUUAUUAAGGACGAAAAUUGACGGUACUUAAUGAAUAAGCUCCGGCUAACUACGUGCCAGCAGCCGCGGUAAUACGUAGGGAGCAAGCGUUGUCCGGAUUUACUGGGUGUAAAGGGUGCGUAGGCGGCUUUGCAAGUCAGAUGUGAAAUCUAUGGGCUCAACCCAUAAACUGCAUUUGAAACUGUAGAGCUUGAGUGAAGUAGAGGCAGGCGGAAUUCCCCGUGUAGCGGUGAAAUGCGUAGAGAUGGGGAGGAACACCAGUGGCGAAGGCGGCCUGCUGGGCUUUAACUGACGCUGAGGCACGAAAGCGUGGGUAGCAAACAGGAUUAGAUACCCUGGUAGUCCACGCUGUAA